rnacentral:tRNA from 1 species
GCUUGUUGGUCUAGGGGUAUGAUUCUCGCUUAGGUGCGAGAGGUCUCGGGUUCAAAUCCCGGCCCUUGGCGAGCC